rnacentral:misc_RNA from 1 species
CCGCCGAGCCGAGCCGGCCUAAUUUUAGCCCGCGGCAGCUGGCGGGCGGCGCUGGCGGAGCGCACGGCAGUACACACAGCACGGUGGAAGUCUGGAGAAGGUCGCCGCUGCUCCCUCCCUGUCUGGGUGAAGGUCACCUGCCUCUGCUGCUGGGUGAGCGCGCCGGCUCAGCGUGCACAGAUAUUCACCGUAAUAAACAACAAGGUGGUGGGUCUACUGAUGAGGGCCAGAAAACACGGCCUGCUCUACUUCGAGGGAGAAAUGCUCUUUCAGAGGAGGGACGACGACAAG